rnacentral:rRNA from 2 species
GCGAACUAGAUUAGAAGCUUGCUUCUAUGACGUUAGCGGCGGACGGGUGAGUAACACGUGGGCAACCUGCCUGUAAGACUGGGAUAACUUCGGGAAACCGAAGCUAAUACCGGAUAGGAUCUUCUCCUUCAUGGGAGAUGAUUGAAAGAUGGUUUCGGCUAUCACUUACAGAUGGGCCCGCGGUGCAUUAGCUAGUUGGUGAGGUAACGGCUCACCAAGGCAACGAUGCAUAGCCGACCUGAGAGGGUGAUCGGCCACACUGGGACUGAGACACGGCCCAGACUCCUACGGGAGGCAGCAGUAGGGAAUCUUCCGCAAUGGACGAAAGUCUGACGGAGCAACGCCGCGUGAGUGAUGAAGGCUUUCGGGUCGUAAAACUCUGUUGUUAGGGAAGAACAAGUACGAGAGUAACUGCUCGUACCUUGACGGUACCUAACCAGAAAGCCACGGCUAACUACGUGCCAGCAGCCGCGGUAAUACGUAGGUGGCAAGCGUUAUCCGGAAUUAUUGGGCGUAAAGCGCGCGCAGGCGGUUUCUUAAGUCUGAUGUGAAAGCCCACGGCUCAACCGUGGAGGGUCAUUGGAAACUGGGGAACUUGAGUGCAGAAGAGAAAAGCGGAAUUCCACGUGUAGCGGUGAAAUGCGUAGAGAUGUGGAGGAACACCAGUGGCGAAGGCGGCUUUUUGGUCUGUA